GACGAACGCUGGCGGCGUGCUUAACACAUGCAAGUCGAACGGAAAGGCCCUGCUUUUGUGGGGUGCUCGAGUGGCGAACGGGUGAGUAACACGUGAGUAACCUGCCCUUGACUUUGGGAUAACUUCAGGAAACUGGGGCUAAUACCGGAUAGGAGCUCCUGCUGCAUGGCGGGGGUUGGAAAGUUUCGGCGGUUGGGGAUGGACUCGCGGCUUAUCAGCUUGUUGGUGGGGUAGUGGCUUACCAAGGCUUUGACGGGUAGCCGGCCUGAGAGGGUGACCGGCCACAUUGGGACUGAGAUACGGCCCAGACUCCUACGGGAGGCAGCAGUGGGGAAUAUUGCACAAUGGGCGGAAGCCUGAUGCAGCAACGCCGCGUGCGGGAUGGCGGCCUUCGGGUUGUAAACCGCUUUCGCCUGUGACGAAGCGUGAGUGACGGUAAUGGGUAAAGAAGCACCGGCUAACUACGUG
rnacentral:rRNA from 1 species